rnacentral:rRNA from 1 species
UACGGAGGAUGCAAGCGUUAUCCGGAUUUAUUGGGUUUAAAGGGUGCGCAGGUUGUUUGAUAAGUCAGUUGUGAAAGUCUGUCGCUUAACGGUAGGAUUGCCAUUGAUACUGUUAGACUUGAAUAUGGAUGAGGUAGGCGGAAUGUGUAGUGUAGCGGUGAAAUGCAUAGAUAUUACACAGAACACCGAUUGCGAAGGCAGCUUACUAAUCCAUCAUUGACGCUGAGGCACGAAAGCGUGGGGAGUCAAACA